AACGCACAUUGCGCCCUCUGGUAUUCCGGAGGGCAUGCCUGUCUGAGCGUCAAUAUAACAUCAAACACCAGUUUGGUCUUGGAAGAAGAGAUGGCAGCAUCUCCCUUCUGUAAAUCAUUGAGCAGCGGUCCAAGCUAUGCGACGUAGUAAGCACAAAUCUCGUCGAACUGUAGCCUUGUGACUGUUUGCCAUAACCCAAAUAUAUCAUUGUUUGACCUCAGAUCAGGUAGGGAUACCCCCUGAACUUAA
rnacentral:misc_RNA from 1 species